CAACCCUACACAAGGAUAAAAGCAGACCACAAGUAUUCAGCACCACAGAUGUCACACUUGAUCUGUUCUUCUUAUGCUGGCCGAUCAUCUGCUGGCUGACUUUGCUUUCACUAUCAUUUUGUUCCAAAACUCAACCUCGAGUCUUAAAGGUUAGGUACCUCCUACAGAUAAUAUACUUACUGAGUAAAGGAAAUGAAGAUAAAGAUGAGAUAAAAUAGAACGGAAUAGAAUAUGUAACUGAUCUGUGAGCUCUUGUAGACAUAAAUGUACAAUUCUGUGUCCAAUUCUGGCCACCAUGAUACAAAAAAGAUGCAGAGACCCUAGAAAGUAUGCAGAGAAGAGCAACAAAGAUGAUAAGGGGUAUGGAGGCUAAACUGAUGAACAGUUAAGGGAAUUAGCUAACAAACAAAAGGCUUGGGGUGACAUGAUAGCUACCUUCCAAUACUUGAGGGGCUGUCAUGGGGGGGGGUGUCAACUUAUUUCCCAAAGCACCUGAUAAAAAGCAAUGGGUGGAAGCUCAUUAAGAGAGAUCCAACCUCGAACUAACAAGAAACUGCCUGACGGUGAGAACUGCUUGCCACCCGGUGUUGUGGAUGCUUCAUCAUUUUUCAAGGGAAAAUAGGACACUCAUUUGACUUGAAUGGUAGUAUAUAAGGCUCCUGCCUUGAGCAAGGGGUUGAACUAGAAAACCUCCAAGGUCCCUUACAACCUUAUGAUUCAAUAUUGUGAAGAACUCAGUUAAGGACCUGCCUCUCUUUUGCCAUCUUAACUCUUUCCUCUUCAGAUUCAGAGAAGAAGUUUUUUCCUAUAUGUGCACUAACGUUUGUGCUUACAAACAACCCAUAAACAGAGUCACUUGGCUGAGUUGGGUGGCUAUGGAAAUUGAUUUCCCCACCCAGUUGUCUGCAAUUUAGUUAAGCAACUGGUGGCUGAUGGUAAGUACUGUGGCCCCAUAUAACUUUGGGCAUGUAGGGUAUAAAAUAAAUAACUAAGGGGGCUUCCCUCCAUUGCACUUCUCAUCUUUUAUCUUUAUCUUUUAUUGUUUUGAUGGUAAAUUGUUUGACUGUUACUAAUUUCCCAGAGACACCGAAGAAGCACAAGGCAGCUGACAAAAAACUUUGGAGAUAAUAAACUGUUUCUCAAGAGGCAACCUUUUCUCACAAGAAAGAAAGAAGCUGGUGAGAAAGAUUUGAAGAGUGGGAAAUGAUGGCUGGUGAUGCUCUGAAGUGUUGAAGGUCUGUCCUUUCCUGGUGAUCCUGGGACAAGACUCUUGAAAUAUCCCUGGGUGCAGUCCAGAGAAGAUGGGCGUUGGCUGCAAGGGAGAGACAGCCUUGGGGCAAAGGAAAUCAGGUGCUGGCAGCCCAAGAGAAAAUGCCUGCUGACGUAAUAGCUCAACUCUAUGGAGAAAGGGGGUUGUAGGGAAACAAUUAAUCACUGCCAAAUUCCUAUUCCUAUUUAGCUGAAGCAGAGAAGGGAAGAAGGUGUGGGUGGAAGAUAGGUACUAUGCAUUAACUGCCUCAACAGAAUACUGCAUACAUUAUUCCACAGAGAUAGAAAAUGUUUUCCAUAGUUUACAGAUUAUUUUGGGGUGGUGCAGAAGUCUGGAUUUCCUAUGAAACAGAAGGAUUGGAUCAAUGCUACUCUCCAUUGUGGAAGAUAAGAAUCGGAGGCAAAUAUGGAAGGCCACCAGAUGCUUACCUCCCCAUUAUCUAUGACUGCAACGGAAGAAGUUUGACCGCAGGCAAUGCUGACUGCUACCUUAGCCUGUAAACAAUUGGAGACCCUGCGAGGAGUUGGC